ACAAUGCGGGACUAUCAGUCUUGCAAUUGGAUUGAGAACAAUGUACAACUCUUAUCGAUAAGCCAUUGGAGGGCAAGUCUGGUGCCAGCAGCCGCGGUAAUUCCAGCUCCAAUAGCGUAUAUUAACGUUGUUGCAGUUAAAAAGCUCGUAGUUGAAGUGUGGGUGAUGGCUGUUGUGAGACUUCGGUCUCUCUAGACAGUACGUCACCCCCUUCCAGUAUCCAGUAGUGGGUAUUCAGUUACUUACUAUUGUGUGUUGGUCAUUUACUGUGAGAAAAUUAGAGUGUUCAAAGCAGGCGUUUGCUUGAAUAGAUUAGCAUGGAAUAAUAAUUGAAGGCUUUCGUGUUCGAUUUGAUUGGUUUGUUCAUGGAAGCAAGGUUAAAAGGAACAGUUGGGGGUAUUCAUAUUCACUAGUUAGAGGUGAAAUUCUCGGAUUUAUGGAA
rnacentral:rRNA from 1 species